rnacentral:rRNA from 1 species
UACGUAGGGUGCGAGCGUUGUCCGGAAUUAUUGGGCGUAAAGCGCGCGCAGGCGGUCUUCUACGUCUGGGGUGAAAACCCGGGGCUCAACCCCGGGACUGCCUUGGAUACGGGGAGACUUGAGGAUCGGAGAGGCAAGGGGAGUUCCACGUGUAGCGGUGAAAUGCGUAGAGAUGUGGAGGAACACCUGUGGCGAAGGCGCCUUGCUGGCCGAUUUCUGACGCUGAGGCGCGAAAGCGUGGGGAGCAAACAGG